ACGUCACGCGGUGUCCAAUGCGCCCCCGGUAGCCCUUGAAAAUCUGAAGGACCAUGUGCCGACCACACCCGAUCGUACUCAUAACCGCGUCAGGUCUCCAAGGUGAACAGCCUCUCGUCGAUGGAACAAUGUACGCAAGGGAUGUCGGCAAAAUGGAUCUGUAACUUCGGGAAAAGGAUUGGCUUUGAGGGCUGGGCAUGGGGUUCCCAGUGCCAAACCCAUCGAUUGUCGACGAACUGCUUGAACGUCUCGCACGAUGAGAGCGGGUCGCCGUGUGCCGGCCGAGGGAUGGACUGGGAACGGCCCCUUCGGGGGCCUUCCCCGGGCAUCGAACAAUCAACUCAUAACUGGUACAGACAAGGGGGAUCUGACUAUUUAAUUAAAACAAAGCAUUGUGAUUGUCCCCGUGGAUGUUAACGUAAUGUGAUUUCUGCCUAGUGCUCUGCAUGUCAAAGUGAAGAUAUUCAACCAAGCGUGGGUAAAUAGCGGGAGUAACUAUGACUCUCUUAAGGUAGCCUAAUGCUAAGUCAUCUAAUUAGUGACGCGCAUGAAUGGAUUAACGAGAUUCCCACUGUCCCUGUCUACUAUCCAAUGAAACCACAACCAAGGGAACGGGCUUGGCAGAAUCGUGCCGCAAAUAAGACCCUGUUGAGCUUAACUCUAGUCCGACUUUGUGAAAUGACUUGAGAGGUGCAGCAUAAGUAGGAGCUUCGGCGUAAGUGAAACACCACUACUUUUAACGUUAUUUUACUUACUCCGAGAGUCGGAGGUGGGACAUCGCCCCUCUAUUUGGACCUAAGGCUCGCUUCGCGGGCCGAUCCGGGUAGAGGACAUUUUCAGGUGGGGAGUUUGGCUAAGGCGGCAUAUCUGUUAAAAGAUAACACAAGUGUCCUAAGAUAAGCUCAACGAGAACAGAAAUCUCAUGUGGAAUAAAAGGAUAAAAGCUCGUUUGAUUCUAAUUUUAAGUAUGAAUACGAACCGUAAGAGCGUGACCUUAUGAUCCUUUAGACCUUGAAAUUUGAAGCUAGAGGUGUCAGAAAAGUUACCACAGGGAUAACUGAAUUGUGGCAGCCAAGCAUUCAUAGAGAUGUUGCUUUUUGAUCCUUUGAUGUCGGCUCUUCCUAUCAUUAUGAAGCAAAAUUCACCAAGUGUUGGAUUGUUCACCCACCAAUAAGGAACAUGAGCUGGGUUUAGACCGUCAUAAGACAGGUUCCUUUUACCCUAUUGAUAACAGUAUCACGAUGGUAGUUCAACAUAGUGCAAGAGGAACCGUUGAUUCACACAAUUGGUAAUCGCACUUGGUUUAAAAGCCAGUGGCACGAGGCUACCCUGCAUUGGAUUAUGACUGAACACCUCUAAGUAAGAAUCCGGGCCAAAAGUGACGCAUGCGCCCAUCGCCCGAUUACCGACCUGCAGUAGAGGCCUUGGCCCCCAAGGGCAUGUGU
rnacentral:rRNA from 1 species